UACGGAGGGUGCAAACGUUGCUCGGAAUCAUUGGGCGUAAAGCGCGCGUAGGCGGCGAGGCAAGUUGGAUGUGAAAGCCCUGGGCUCAACCUAGGAUGUGCAUACAAAACUGCCUCGCUUGAAUCUCGGAGGGGGUCAGGGAAUUCCCGGUGUAGAGGUGAAAUUCGUAGAUAUCGGGAGGAACACCAGUGGCGAAGGCACUGACCUGGACGAUGAUUGACGCUGAGGCGCGAAAGCGUGGGGAGCAAACAGG
rnacentral:rRNA from 1 species